rnacentral:lncRNA from 1 species
GUUUAGAGAACUAAAACCAAACAGACAAAUUUCAAGUAUACCUUAAUGACUGAGAAUGCCUGAUUAUCUAUAAAUACUGGUGUGAUUUAGUUUGUGGUUUUUUUUUGUCCUAGCACUUCAAGAACGAUCCAGAUAUACAAAUCCAGCAUCGAUAUCUCAUGAGUGAUUAGUCUGCUGUGAACAUUUGGAUGCAUUCAAGAAAGGACGUAGGAGAAGUGGGCUCGUGUUCAGUUUUCAGGAUUUUAAUUCAUUUCAGUCCUCAUCAAUCCUUUAUACUUCAGAGAGUGCAAGGACAUCAGGAGCCUGUUUUAACCUGUAGUGCCAAUCAUGUUGCGUCUUCUCAAAGCUUCAGCUCAGUCAAGGAGUUUCCAUCAGCAUGAAGACACAGGAUCUUUUGUACAUUAAGAAACAGCCUACACUUUCCCCAAGAGAAUCCUUGCAUCCUGCAUCCUCACUUCUCCAGCACUAAACCUGGGAGAAUUUGUGACAUUUGACAUCUGUGAGUUGAUUUCUGAAGACUGAAGUUCUGCAGUUGCUGAAAUGGCCGAAGCUUCCGUAAAUACAAGUGCACAGGUUGAAGUGAGUAUUGAUUUUGUACAUGAGGUAGAGCUUAGAACACAGACCAAAGGUUUACUAGCUGGGUGAGGUCUAUUUUUUUUCAAGACAUACAACAUAGUGGAGUGAUACGAUAGAUGGUUUUCAGAUUUAUGUAGAUAAAAAGAAACAGGUGAAGUUACAGCUGGUUCCACUAGCACCACAUACUUGAGUACUGCAAAUGAAGUAAUAGCAAUAGAUGGUGCUGUCAUCCACGAAGUGUUGGUUUUCAUUCUCCUCCAUCUAUAAUGAUAAAUUUUCUUAGUAACAGAGUCAACUGCUCUACAUUUUGGAAAGACAAAUCUCCAACCUCUAAGUAUUAAGUAUCUUUUCUAUAAAGCUUUUCAGUUUUGGAGGUAAUUAAGUUGUGUUAGAAUUGGGGAAAAAAAUCAAAUAAAGCUGAAAGAUAGAAAAUUCCA